rnacentral:tRNA from 1 species
GGAGGCGUGGCAGAGCGGUUCAUUGCGCCGGUCUUGAAAACCGGUAUACCCGAAAGGGUAUCGGGGGUUCGAAUCCCUCCGCCUCCG